ACAGCAUUCAAAUCCAUAAAAACAGAAUACAUUCAAAUCGUAAAUCUGUUCUUGCCGAGUAUGUAUAGGCAGCACAUUUAAUAUAUUGCUUUCUUAUGAUUUCGUCUCUUCUAUAUUUGGCGUAAUUGUCGAUAACGAAGGCCAUCUUUUCUUUGUCUGGCAUACGUACUGGUGGGGCAUUUCUAGAGUUCGCAUUUUCUCACAAGGAAGCUUUUAAACCAAGAGUUCCAAAUGGUUGAGUUGAAAUCAUCCUUCGUUAAUUUUUAUGGACGUCAUCACGAAUUGGUUGACCGUUAUAGAAUGUGUACUUGUACGUUGUCUAAGAAUGUACGACAUUUGUCAUCAGAAGGAGCGUCAGACAAUGUCAAACGUGUUCAUCAGUCAUCGAUUUCAUUUAAGGAAAGGAAUGG
rnacentral:lncRNA from 1 species